rnacentral:misc_RNA from 1 species
AACUUUUAGCAACGGAUCUCUUGGCUCCCGCCUAAAUGAAGAACGCAGCGAAAUGCGAUAAGUAAUGUGAAUUGCAGAAUUCAGUGAAUCAUCGAAUCUUUGAACGCACCUUGCGCUCCUUGGUAUUCCGAGGAGCAUGCCUGUUUGAGGGUCAUUAAGAUAUAUCAAACUUCUCGUGUUGAGUUGUUUGGAUGUGGGGGUUUGCUGGCCUCUUAAAGGGGUUCAGCUCUCCUCAAAUGCAUUAGCAGAACAACCUGUUCAUUGGUGUGAUAACUAUCUACGCUAUUGAAUGUGAAGGGAAGUUCAGCUUUCUAACAGUCUUUGGACAAAUUCAUCAUUAAUGUGACCUCAAAUCAGGUAGGACUACCCGCUGAACUUAAGCAUAUCAAUAAGCGGAGGCU